AACUGAUUUAUAUUUUGUUUCAGAGUGCAUCCUCAUAUGGAACUCUUACCUACGGCCAGUCUGUUCCUGCAAGUAGUUCGGAUUCUAGUAAGAAGGUAGUGGUCAUUCCCAACAGCAACCCAUAUCCACCUGUGCGUCAUACCUACCCGCAGAGUUUGGGCAAUUCUGCUACUAGGAUCAUAAUACAG